GUAAACACUUGGCGCAGAGGACACCGUGAUCAUGAAGGCGGUUCCUCUAGUUAGAGGUUUAGACAUUGCACUAUUGGCUCUGCUGAUAGCUAUGGCUACUCCAAAUGUGAGUACGCUAAGCGCACAAUUUAUGGGUUUGAGUGGACCGCGUACGCGCGGUCACCAC